UCGAGAAUCUUCGGCAAUGGGCGCAAGCCUGACCGAGCGACGCCACGUGCGGGAUGACGGCCCUCGGGUUGUAAACCGCUGUCGGGGGGGAUGAAGUCACGCAGGGCAAUCCCUGUGUGUUGACAGAGCCCCAAAGGAAGCGCGGGCUAAGUACGUGCCAGCAGCCGCGGUAAGACGUACUGCGCGAACGUUAUUCGGAAUCACUGGGCUUAAAGGGUGCGCAGGCGGCUUCUCAAGCCCGGGGUGAAAGGCCCCGGCCCAACCGGGGACGGUCUUCGGGGACUGAGAGGCUCGGGCGAGCUAGGGGUCCGUGGAACUCCCGGUGGAGCGGUGAAAUGUGUUGAGAUCGGGAGGAACGCCGGUGGCGAAAGCGACGGACUGGGGCUUUGCCGACGCUCAGGCACGAAAGCCAGGGGAGCGAACGG
rnacentral:rRNA from 1 species